UAAGGAAUCUUCCACAAUGGGCGAAAGCCUGAUGGAGCAACGCCGCGUGCAGGAUGAAGGCCCUCGGGUCGUAAACUGCUUUUAUGAGUGAAGAAUAUGACGGUAACUCAUGAAUAAGCACCGGCUAACUACGUGCCAGCAGCCGCGGUCAUACGUAGGGUGCAAGCAUUAUCCGGAGUGACUGGGCGUAAAGAGUUGCGUAGGCGGUUAGUAAAGCGAAUAGUGAAACCUGGUGGCUCAACCAUACAGACUAUUAUUCGAACUCACUAACUCGAGAGUGGUAGAGGUAACUGGAAUUUCUUGUGUAGGGGUGAAAUCCGUAGAUAUAAGAAGGAACACCAAUUGCGUAGGCAGGUUACUGGACCAUUUCUGACGCUAAGGCACGAAAGCGUGGGGAGCGAACC
rnacentral:rRNA from 1 species